UGGGAUUAAAGGUGUGUGCCACCACUGCCCGGCAUAUUUUAUAAAAUUUUUAUGGCUGAAAUUCCACUUUCUGUCUGCUAUCUUUUCUUUAUCCAUCCAUUCUUCCAUGAACAUCUAGGCUGAUCCAUCUCCUUGCUAUUGUGAAUAGUGCAUAUGCGUAAGUAUCUCUGUGGGGCCAGUGUGACGGUUCAGCACAUCAAAGUACUCGCUGCCAAGAUCAACAACUUGAGUUCAAUCUUUGGGAUCCUUCAAUCAUGGUGGAAGGAAAGAAGCGACUCCCACAGGUUGUCUUCUCAUUUUCACAUGGGCUUUGUGGUAUGUACAUGAGUCCCUCCCCCAGUAAAUACAUAUAAUAAAAAGUAUCUCUGUGGUCUGAUGGCUCAGUUAUAUAGCAGUGCUGUUUUCAAUGAGAGAUACUGCCUCAAAAAGUCAGGUGGGAAGCCAUAGAAGACACCACCUGAUGUCAAUCUCAGGUCUCCAAAUGUACACAUGCACACUCAAAAGUGUCUAUAACAUGUGCAACACACACACACACACACACACACACACACACACACACGGAUUUCAAGAUAGUAACAACUAAGCUGAGGCCCUUUAAAGCGUGUGGUGGGGCACAGUGAGAUGACUUGGCUGCCACGAGGAAAGGGUGGUGCCAUCUGGGCUCAUCGCAGCUAGUCUGGGUGUACCACAAGCCCAAUUCUGUUUAUCCAUUUCCAACUAUUGUAAUUAAGAGCUCCAACUUCUCGUCCUUUUUUUUGAAGUUUAUUUUUUCUCAAUAUGCAAAUAGAAAUGGUUUUCAAUGGCUGUUAUUCCAAUGUAAUUAAAAAAAAUACACGUCUGUGUCUAUGAAAAGGUGGAUGAAGAUCUAUCAGGAGGGCUGACUUGUGCUUUUUUUAUUGUAUGGACAGUGUACAGGGUUUUGAUAUACUGCAUCACAAUACUGACUGCUAGGUUUCUUAUAAAGGUUUAGUUUCAUAUUUUAGAUUCAUAUUCUAGAUUGUUUUUCUGCACAAUAAAAGUAAGCUCAUGCCAGUGUUUAGGAACCAAUAAUAUCAAUUCAUUCAAAUUUAAUGACAGUUUUAUUAAACUAGGAAUCUCAUAUCACAGAGCAUUCACAGUGCAGGAGGUCACAGUUAUUGAAAAAAUAAAUAGCGGCAUAAAUAUAUUUAUUAUUUACAGCUUUCCAACCCCUUGCUCCUGCUCUGCCUGUUAGAGAAUGAACAAAGACAGCGAUGUUCAGCCCAGCAUGCUAUGCGGAUGUCUUGUGGGCACUCGGUGGCGGAUGGAUGGCCUCACAAGUUCUCGGUUUGGAGUGUUUUUAAGGAGGCUAUUUUAAGAUUCAAGACUCCUCUGUUUCCAUCUGCCUGUGACCUGGUAAGUCGAGGCUGUGUUGAGAAAAGGUCCAAAUCCCCCGGGGAAACUGUGCCCAGCCUGGCCCUUGGCAUCUUGGAUGUUCCUGGCCUCUUCACGCCCAGCUUGCCUUGGCGGUCCGACCUCUGCCCCGGAUCUGGCGCAGCUGGCACAGCUGGCUGGCAGCCUUCUGUCGUCUCAGGGUGAUCAAAGCUGCCUUUGUAUCAGACAUCAGGAAGGACUUUGGAGACACGGGGGUGAGCACCCUGCCAGGAGUGAGUGCUCUGAAUGGUACAUCCAGCCUCACAGACUAGCAGCCAACCCUCCACAGACUGGAGAUCCCCGAAAGUCAGCCACUGUGGAUCAGCCACAGCUUUGUCUGCUGGGUCCCCAAAUGAACUUGGGGUAGGUCAAAUGGAAGAAGCCAGAGCAUAUUCACAGGGUCCACAGCUCAGAGGGGUAGUGGUUCAAACUGAGGCAGGACACCCAGCAGCGAGAUCCCCUCCGCCCAACAGAGCACUUCCCUUAGUUGAACAGAGUGACCCUGUCUCGGUCCCAGGCAUGUUCAGAAGUAGGAAAGUCUUCCUAUUGGAAGAGGACUGUUGUGUUUCCUCUGGAGUGGACCCCAAAACUUCCUUGUUGGGAAUUCUAGAGUGAUGAGGGGUGAGUGUUGUCUUGGACCCUUCCUUAGUAGAGUAAAGCUGAUCACACCAAACCAAAAGCCACAUGGUCUCUUCUAUUAAUAGCUAAAAACAGCAACAAAUAAACUUGUUUUCUAAGGAUGGGUAGGGAAGGCCCAGGCUCUCUCCAGGAUAAAGGAUUUUCUGGAACUCACGGAUGGAAAAGCCCCAACCAGCAUUGUGCCUAGCCAACCACUGCUCUAAUUUUGGCAGUACUGUGGGAAGAGCUGUGGGUCAUGCUGGCGUGUAUCCUGGAUUUUAACAAGGAGCAGGCAAGCCCUGACCCCGCCAAUGUAACGGAUAGACGAGCCACGCAGCCACAGCCUUGACCUUCACAGAAGCAGACUGUGUUCUCAACGCUUCCCAGAGCCCUAGGACUACACCAGGGCACACCAGAGGAGAUUCGAUUUCAGCCCUGCUGAAGGGAGUAGAGGAGGCUAUCCAACUUGGACAACUGGACCGGAAACAGUGGGAAUAGAAGAAGAGUUUAAGAAACACAGGGCGAAGGACACCUCAGUGGGGAGCCCUGACUCCCUAGCAGUGCAGAAGUGGUGUGCGGGUGUGUGUGAGUAUUUGCGGGUGCAGCAGAGCUGCAUGGGAACUGGAAGGCAAAAAGGGUUGAAAAGCUAUAGUGCUUAACGGGCCCCCCUCCCCUGCCCUGGGGCCCACCAAAGCUCCUAAGCCGCUCAGCUGGCUUUCCUAAAAUGAUAGCUCCUCCUGGGUGGCAGAGGUGGAGAAAAGUGCCCCUUUUCCCAACUGCGUGAAGACAUGCAUUUGCUUAUAUUGUACUGUGAUGAAGGGACAUUGUCUCAAAUCAGACAUGAAGGGAAUCACAAGGUGAGCACCCAGGUUGAGGCUGCCUUUUAUCAAAAAAUAACCAUCAGGAGUAUCCAACAUACAGCCCUGAGCCACACCAGACUGUAAACUUACUUAUAUUAGAUUUUUUUUGGUGGGGGGAAUAUAUAGUAUAUAUACAUACAUGUAUAUAUAUAUGUGUGUGUGUACACUAUAUAUAUUUGGUAACCUGACUGCAUGCUUCAUGUAUGUGAACUUUGUAGAUGAUGCUGUGGCUUCAGAAAAACCCAACAUGGGACCAUUCUGCUGGCGGUGCCCGGGAACAUGCCUUUCAGGCACCAACGCUCUGCAGCAAGGCAAAGCCUUACGCAAGUGAAUGCCUUGUCUCUUCCAAGUUUCCAGUGUUCCCAGCAGAGUCGGAUGUUCAUCGUGACACAAUCUGCCUUCUCCAGGCCCAGAGUUGACACUUGCCAACCACAGUCCUACUUUGCACUCAUCUAGGACACCUCACGUUCACUGACUGACUCAUUUCUGAGGUUGCCCAUGGGACAGAAAGACAAACAGCACACAGAAGUCCUGUUGACUAAAGUGUGCAAGAGAGAAGAGACACGAUGCAUCCCCGCAGCCGGCAGCCAAGAGUCUGUGGAGUUGCUCAAAUGAUGCCUGGACCCUGCCAUGCAGGGACAGAUACCCAGCAGCCUGGCCCAUGACCGGACAAAGACCAUGGUGGCCCGUCCUUCCAGCUCAUGAAAGAAUUGACAGUGGCUGCCAAGGCAGGAGAGACCUGUGUGGAGAAGGAGAGAGAGAGGACGCCAGCAUCAUGGUGGCCACAGCAGUUUCUUUUCCGGGCAACAGCUCAGCUUUAGUCGUCUUCUCGGCACAUGGGCAAGUUGACGAAGGUAAAGACGUUAAACUCUAUCAUUAUGGAGAAGCACAGGAAGACGGCAUACAGGACCAGCACGUAGAUGCCCAGCUUUCGGUCCAGGUGCCAUUUGUUGAGGUGGAUGCCAAGGACCUGGGAGGAGACAAGAGCAGAGCUAGACUUGGUGGGCUGACAGACUCAGAGACCUUUUAAACCAAAGAUAACAGUGUGGGCUCCAGAACUUUUUGUAAAAUGUAGUCAAGAUUCUGGUCCAGUUGAGACUAGACUCUGAGACCUGCCCCAUGACAUGGCUGAUCCACGGUAGCAGCUCUCAUACACUGGCCCUCCCCUAGGAGACAGGCUACUUCCUCAAGGUCCAAUGUGUCCUCGCCAUGGCCCUUCCCUAAGGAAACCAGACCUUCCCCUUUGCCUCAGAACUUGGCUCAUAAUUGUUUGUCUUCAGCACAUUUCCCAGGCUCAUUUGAGCCACUCUGGGUGAACUUCUGCCUGGGCCUCCCUUUGUUGUUGGGGGAACAAGCUCCCCCCACCCCACCCCAAGUGCCCUUGCUCUUAUCCCUGAAUCAAGGCUUUUCUGGGUUGGACCACAGCUGCCUCCACAGAGCACAGAGAUCUGUAAAGACAGAGAAACCUGGCUUCAAAGCACAUUUUUGCCACUUGCUAACUCUGCGGCCUUGGGCAAAUUGCUUAACUCCUGAGCCUUGAUUUCUUCUGCAAAAUGGAAAUAAUAGUACCCUCCUCAUCAGGGGUGGUGGGGACUGAACAAAAUACCACAGAUAUAAAGUACCCAGCAUAGGUCUGUGUAUGAGAGCUGGGAGGAUCGCACUGUUGUUACAUUUUGUCCCGAAGACUGUCAUAUCUAUUUGUCAGCUCAGCAGGUGAGCAGAGUUUCUAUCUCACUGGAUCAGUUGGAAAGAAAUGAAAUGUAAUCAUGUGACAUGACAACCCUUGAGACAUGUUUGUGUGCGCGUGUGGGUACAUGUAGAGACGAGAGGACAAUCUUGGCUGUCAUUCCUCAAACACUAUUCACCUUCUUUUUGAGUCUCUUACUGAACCUGGAACAUUCUAAUUUGGCUAGGCUGGGUGGUCAGAGAACCCCUAACGGCCUGCCUGACUCUGCUUCCCUGCACUUGAAUUACAAGUGUGCAUCAUUAUGACCCCUUAUUUGAACAACAUGGGUUCUGGGACUCUAACUUGGCUUUAACUGACCAAGCUCAUCUCCCAGGUCCCCUGGUGACAUCUCAUUUGCUCAGGAUGAAGUACCAUGGUGUCUAUAGUUAUUCUUGAUUCCCCCGCCCCCCAAAAAAAAGAAAGAAA